AAUGUUUGUUUAUUACUUAUGGAAAAAUAAUAUUAUUCACCUAAAAUAAAGAAUUACGACACAUAUACAAUACAAUUCUAAUUAAUGAUAAUAUAAAAUCUGUUACUUCUAAAACUAUACACUCUUUAUUCUAUUUUUUGAAUGAAAGUAUCUUCGUAAACACACAAAAUAUUUUGUGACGUUGCAAUUAUACAUACACACAAUAUCUGCCUCUUCAUACUGACGUUAUUGUGUUCCCUCUCGUGAGGUGCGGACCGAGAGGGAACACAGAAUGCGGGCCGGUCAUGUUCUGGGUGCGGACCGGUCACCUAGUAUAUUUUAACAUAUUCACUCAUACUCCACAUAUCAUCUUCCUUUUUAAUCCACCGCUACGGAAAAAAAAAACAAUAACUGAGAACGUUUUUAAACAAAUAGGAUAUCAACACACAUUAUCAACCAUUUUAUUAGCAUAAACAAAUAAAAGAAAUGUUCACGUCCCCUUCAACAUUUUUUAUAUAUAAAGUAGUGUUUUACUCACUCCUGAGGGUGCCACAUAGGACUCCAUGUUACAAAGUCUGUUUCUUGACGUUGUGACACGUGUCCUGGAUGUAAAACUCAACGUUUCAUUAAUUCUGGUGUGGGUUUCGAUUUUCAUUUGGUAUAAUCGCGUGUUUGGACUGAUGUCGUGGUUUGGUCCGUGAAGUAGAGUUCUUCUGUAACCCUAAUAACGCAGAGACGAUGAAUUGGUGCUCGUAUCUCUUAAUCGUGCGACGGCGACACGGUGACGUUUGUGCUUCUUCUGACCACCUAUCCAUUUCCAAUCAAACGUUAAGAUCAACUGGAAAGACACCAACGGAGACGUUCUUGAAUGAUGUCGAUCUCGAUUUGGGACGAGCGGAGCUUCGAUUCUGGCUAAUUGAUUUGUUUGGAUUUUUUUGGGAAGCGAGGAACACGACGAAGGGGCAUUUUAAUUGGUUUAUAGCUCCUGUUUAUUGACGAACAGGUUAGAACUCUGUGUUGAUUAAUUUUACUGCUUUCAUUUGUUCCUAUUAACUAAUACCAUUCUGUGAAAGGCAACUGAGCGUGGACAAGAAUACAUUCUUAUUAUUUUCUUUGCAACAAAAAAAAAGAAAAUAAAAGGUUCUGCAACUCCGGUUGGUGAUUUUGGAAAUAUGAAGAAGUGCAAGCAAGAAGCUUUAUCAGACAUUUAAUCUGCUAGAAGACUAAACGUAAGAAUGUCUUAAUGGAUAUACUCUUCUUUUAUCUUCUUAAAAAGUUACCCAACUGCUCAAGUGAUAUAAGCCAUGUUCGUUUGUACAUUUGGAAGAUGCAUCCAGAUAGUCCAUCUAGAUGUCUUAUCCAGAUGCUCCAUCUGGUUGUUGUUCGUUUCAUCAUUUCGUCCAUGCAUCCAGAUGAAUCAUCUGAAUGCAACUAUGUUCGUUUGUUUUUCAUUUUUUAACUUCCAUCUGCGUCCAGGUAGACUUGUUAAUAAAAUGACUAAAAUAAUUUUUUUUACGUUUCGGCGGACAAAUAGCAUUUUACGGUUUUGGCCAAAAAUAUUUUUGCAGUUUUUGAGGAAAUAUGUGUGUUUCCACGAAAAGUGCAUUUUUAUGGUUUUGGCGAAAACAUAUGUUUUAUGGGUUUGGCGGAAAAAUAAGUUUUUGCGGUUUGGACGAAAAAGUGUGUUUUGAAAUUUUGGCGGGAAAAAUGUUUUUUUUUACGGGAAAAGUUUUUUUCGCGAUUUUGGCGGAAAAAGUUUUUUUUUCGCGAUUUUGGUAGGAAAAUCAUUUUUGCAGUUUUGGCGGGAAAAUACAUUUUUCCGGUUUUGGUGGGAAAAUACAUUUUUCGGUUUUGGUGGGAAAAUACGUUUUUUCGGUUUUGGCGGGAAAAUGCAUUUUUCCGGGUUUGGCGGGAAAAUGUGUUUUCCAUUUUUAGCGGGAAAUGCGUUUUUCCGGUUUUGGCGGGAAAAUGCAUUUUUUCCGGUUUUGAGAAAAUGCGUUUUUCCAGUUUUAGCGGAAAAAUGCGUUUUUUUUCCGGUUUUAGCGGGAAAAUACGUUUUGUCAGUUUUCGCGGUAAAAUUGUGUUUUCAGUUUUGGCGGAAAAAUUCUGUUUUCCAGUUUUGGCGGAAAAAUUUCGUUUUCCGGUUUUGGCGGACAAAUUGUGUUUUCCGGUUUUGGCAGACAAAUUGUGUUUUCCGGUUUUGGCGAGAAAAUGCUUUUUGCGGUUUUGGCCAGAAAAUGUUUUUUGGAGUUUUGGCGGAAAUAUGCGUUUUUUGAGUUUUGGCGGGAAAAUGCAUUUUUUUUGUUUUGACGGGAAAAUACGUUUUUUGUGGUUUUGGUCGAAAAGUGCGAUUUUACUUGUUUAGCCGAAAAAUGUGUAUUUAUAAAAAUUUGUGUUUUAUGAUUUUUUUGGCGGAAAAAUGCAUCAUGCGGUUUUGGCGGGAAAGUGUGUUUUUCCGUUUUUGCGAAAAAUUGCAUUUUUUGGUUAUAGCGAAAAAAUGUAUAUGCAAAAAAUAUAAUUUACGAUUUGAAAAUAAUAUUUUGAUUUUAAAAGAUCAUUUUUGUCAUUUAUCAUUUUGGACUGAACUAGAUGCAUCUGCAUAUGCACCAGCAAGACUCAUCUUCAUUUGGGUGAGAAUUUGAGAUGAGUUUUUAAAAAUUCAGCUGGGUGAUCCAUCUGGAUGUAGCAUUAUAAUGCACAAAACAAACAUCAAUUCGCAUCUUCACCAUGAUAGAUCACCUGAGUGAGCAAGCGAACAGGGCGUACUUUAAUCAUUCUUUCUUUAUAAAAAGCAGUAAAGAACAAUUGACGCUUAACGUAAUUCUUCACAACAAAACUCACAUCAGGUUAUGGCAAAUCACAGAUUGUUAGAUGCAUCUGAUGGUUAUAGACUAUGAGAAUUAUGGAAUACCUAAUGCCGAGUACCAUUCAAUUGUGAGGAGGUGGUAGAGAAGUCGAUUCCAUUCUCCAGGUGGUGUGCUGCUUUGAGGACAACGAUAUUUAUCAUGUCGGUGGCAAAAUAAAUCCCACGUCUGACCUUGAUUUCAUCAAUCUCGAACUCAUUUUCUGCGACUUGGAUCAGAUUUGUAAAAUACUCGGAACUUACGAAAUGCAAGGCAAGAGGAUUCACAAUCUAAAGUCAAAGAAAACUAUUGUCUGAAUGCCUUUGGUAUAAUCGUAGUGUGCUUUAUAGUGAUAUUGCAGUAGAUGUGUAGCUACGUAGUCUAGACAAGUAAAUUCAGAAAACACGAAGGAUCAGUUUAGCUUCAACAGAUAAUGGGAUUUGAUGUAUUUGAUUCACUAAAUGAAUGGAGUUAGAGCUUUACAAAAAAAAAUGUUUCUUUUAUUGCAUAUCUUUUGGCGAUUUUUGACCCGUUCAAACUAAUGUGUUAUAUAUGCACACAACUAUUCUGAUGUAUCAAGAUUUCUUGCAGGGAAAUUGAGAAAUUAAAAUUAUCUGAGAUGUCAAGCAAAGAAGACGUCAUUGAAGUGGCGAAGAUGUGAGCAUUGCUUGCUUCUCAUAUACUCAACUUCAGCAGUAAACUUUUUGUGAUUCUCUUUAUAAAAUUAUAGCACACGAUACAUUUUUAACUAAUACAUAUAUCAUAUUAUGUUUUUUCUGUUUCAUAAUAAACUAGGGUAAACCCGCCCCACGGGCGGGCGAUUAAAUAUAUAAUAAUAUAAAUUAUUUUAAAUUUAAAUUUAUUUUUAACUAAAAAUACCAUAAAUGUUUUAAAUUUUCUAUGUAUUUUAAAAUUAUUUUAGAUAUUAUAAACUUGUCUAAUUAUAUUAAAAUUUGAAAAAUAUAAUUAUUUAACUUCUCUCAAUGUUUAUUUUAAUUUAACUAUACCAAUAAGAUACAUAGAUUUAAAAAAAAAAU